rnacentral:rRNA from 1 species
GAUGAACGCUGGCGGCGUGCCUAAUACAUGCAAGUCGAGCGAACGGACGAGAAGCUUGCUUCUCUGAUGUUAGCGGCGGACGGGUGAGUAACACGUGGAUAACCUACCUAUAAGACUGGGAUAACUUCGGGAAACCGGAGCUAAUACCGGAUAAUAUUAUGAACCGCAUGGUUCAACAGUGAAAGACGGUCUUGCUGUCACUUAUAGAUGGAUCCGCGCUGCAUUAGCUAGUUGGUAAGGUAACGGCUUACCAAGGCAACGAUGCAUAGCCGACCUGAGAGGCUGAGCCGCCACACUGGAACUGAGACACGCUCCAGACUCCAUCGGGAGGCACCGGUAGGGAAUCUUCCGCAAAGGGCGGAAGCCUAACGCAGCAACGCCCCGUGAGUGAUGAAGGUCAUCGGAUCGUAAAACUUUGUUAGUAGUGAAGAACAUAUGUGUAAGUAACUGUGCACAUCUUGACGGUACCUAAGCAGAAAGCCACGGCUAACUACGUG